rnacentral:rRNA from 1 species
AGAAUCAACGCUGGCGGCGUGCCUAACACAUGCAAGUCGAACGAGAAAGCCUGUAGUAAUACAGGUGAGUAAAGUGGCGCACGGGUGAGUAACACGUGGAUAACCUACCUCCGAAUGGGGAAUAACCCUGGGAAACCGGGGCUAAUACCGCAUAACAUCUUAGUACCUCGGUACAGAGAUUGAAACCUUGAAAAGGGGUUUGGAGAGGGGUCCGCGGCUGAUUAGCUAGUUGGUGAGGUAAUGGCCCACCAAGGCUUUGAUCGGUA